CGGGGUGUAGUUCAUCGGCAGAACGCCUGUUUUGGGAACAGGAAGCAGGAGGUUCAAUUCCUCUCACCCCGA
rnacentral:tRNA from 1 species